GACGCUAGGGAGGUCUGCCACGAACCCCACUGGGUGGUCUGAAGAGCCAAGGGUUCAACCCCCAGCCUCUCCGAAGGAAAGAUCGGCACAACCUCCGAAGGCAGCGCGGCUGAAUCGGUCUCUCUUUUUGGCCAUGACCGACGUGGGAAACGGCUGCAUUUUGUGGGAAGCUGCCACAUUUCAUCUCCUUUCGCUUUGGUUCUGAUCCUGCCAGUUUGGGGGGACGCUCCCCCAAACCCAGCCUGACUCAGAGGCCUUCCUUUUCUCUCUCUUUCCUUCCUUCUCUUCUUUUUCUUUAUUUCCAUUUUCCUUCCUUUCUCUUCCUUCCUUCUUUGUUUCCUUCUUUCCUUUUUCUUUCCUUCCCUCUCCUCCUAAUUUUUCUCUUUUUUUCCUUCCUUCCCUUCUUUUUUGUUUUCUCUUUCCUUUCCUUCCUUUUUCUUUUCCUUCUUUCUAUUUUCCUUCCUUUCUCUUCCUUUUUUGUUUCCUUCUUUCCUUUUUCCUUCCUUUCUUCUCUUCCUAAUCUUUCUUUUUUUCCUUCCUUCCUUUCCUUCUUUCCUUUUCUUCCUUUUUCUUUUCCUUCUUUCCAUUUUCCUUCCUUUCUCUUCCUUCCUUUUUGCUUCCUUCUUUCCUUUUUCCUUCCUUCUCUUCCUAAUCUUUCUUUUUUCCUUCCUUCCUUCUUUUUUUUUCUGUUUCCUCUUUCCUUCCUUCUGUUCCUUUUUCUUUUCCCUUCUGUCCAUUUUUCUUCCUUUCUCUUCCUUCCUUCCUCCAGGAAGAACAGAAAAAGCUUCUUGGGUGAGAAGCAAAACGCUUUUAAAGCCCAAGAAAGUCCAGCUGCCUUUUGCAAAAAGCUCCUUUUGGGGGCAACCGUGGCCCAGCGUGCUGGGGUGCUCCUAACCCUUCUGGGCCCAUGCGCCUUGAAAGGGGGCCCUUUCCCUCUGCCCGUCCCUUUCAGGAGGCGCUCUCAUGCGCGAGCAUCGCACCCUCCCUGUGCAAAAGGGCAAAGCAAGGCAACCCCAGAGCCCUUGGGACCCUGUUUCUCUCAGCAGAGGGUUGCAGGUUGAGAAGGGGGCGGGCUAUCUUGUAACACCCCUCCCCUCUUUUUGGGGGUGGGUGGGGGUGGGGUGUGUGGAAUUCACACAUACGCAUUCUCUAUUCUGCCCAGCUCUGCUCCAAGAGAAGGACUCUGGGUCAAUUUUGUAGGUCAACACUGUUGCUGUACCAGGUUGGAAAGUUGAAGGUUGAAUAAAAAAGGAUCUAUCUUUCUUUCUCUUUUUUUU
rnacentral:lncRNA from 1 species